UAAAGGUAUUCCGGUAGAUGAUGGGGAUGCGUUCCAUUAGAUAGUAGGCGGGGUAACGGCCCACCUAGUCUUCGAUGGAUAGGGGUUCUGAGAGGAAGGUCCCCCACAUUGGAACUGAGACACGGUCCAAACUCCUACGGGAGGCAGCAGUGAGGAAUAUUGGUCAAUGGGCGAGAGCCUGAACCAGCCAAGUAGCGUGAAGGAUGACUGCCCUAUGGGUUGUAAACUUCUUUUAUAAAGGAAUAAAGUCGGGUAUGCAUACCCGUUUGCAUGUACUUUAUGAAUAAGGAUCGGCUAACUCCGUGCCAGCAGCCGCGGUAAUACGGAGGAUCCGAGCGUUAUCCGGAUUUAUUGGGUUUAAAGGGAGCGUAGAUGGAUGUUUAAGUCAGUUGUGAAAGUUUGCGGCUCAACCGUAAAAUUGCAGUUGAUACUGGAUAUCUUGAGUGCAGUUGAGGCAGGCGGAAUUCGUGGUGUAGCGGUGAAAUGCUUAGAUAUCACGAGGAACUCCGAUUGCGAAGGCAGCCUGCUAAGCUGCAACUGACAUUGAGGCUCGAAAGUGUGGGUAUCAAACAGGAUUAGAUACCCUGGUAGUCCACACGGUAAACGAUGAAUACUCGCUGUUUGCGAUAUACUGCAA
rnacentral:rRNA from 1 species